AGUAUACCAGUGUCAGAAUAAAAAAAAAAUGUGUAGAACAUUUUGAAUGCAGUGUUUAGUAUCAAACUGAGGAGCUCCAGUUACAAAAAUAUUUAUUACCUCCUGAACUGGAUGUAAAAUGAAUACAAUCAGAAAUUUAAAAAAAAAAAAAAAAUUCAUGUUUGGUGCUUCUGCUAAAUUAGGUAAAAAUUACUCUUCAGUUAAUAUAAUUAGGUUUACUGAAAAGGCAUUUUGAGUUUUGUAACAAAAGCAGAGUGUGACUUAAAUAUAUAAAAUUCUGGCAGAAUAAAUGAAGCCAAUAGCUGUGUUUCCAUCCAUGUGUUUUUACGGGCAUUCAGUGGUUUUACGUUUCAAAGAGGGGUCACUUUGAAGAACAGUUAAUGCACUUAAUGAGAUGGAAAUAAGUCAGCUCUGAAAUGGUGAGCAUCUUGCCCAUGUGACUGAUCAGCUGAUUCCUGGCAUCCUCCAGUUUAUUCACAUUAGGGUGAAAACUGGUAACAGCUGUCACUACCUGAUCCAAAGUGGAGACCCCAUGUGUGUCUGAAAAUGCAGAAGGAAUUCGUCUGUAUUUCAAAGUGCCAUUUAUCUUUGGUUUUAGUUCUUUAUUAAAAAGUAAUUAAAUGUUUUAAUCAAUUACAUGUACUUUUUAAAAGGAUUUCACAGUGUAUGUUCAGUUAAGAUAGGCUAACAUUAGCUAUUGAACUAACAGCAGUUAACAUUAGCCAGAGAAGUAAACAGGUGAUAUUCACUACAGAGGGAUGGGAUGGAUGCUGAUGAGAGUUAUUGUUAAUGAGAGAACUAAGCCCAGACUGAGGCAAAAUUACACAAGAGUAUGGGCUCAUGAGAAAACAUUGAUCAUUGGAGCCUUAUAGUUAUACCAAGUAUUAAUCAUUUAAUAAAUUAAAUGUAGCUAAUCUUUUAUUUCAUAGCACCAUAUGUCAGAUAUUCUUUACCAAACAAGAUAACAGUUUUAACAUAUUUUAUGUAAUAAGCACUAAAACCAAUUUAUUUUUAAUUCCACAAACUGCUGUAGAUUAUGUAUAAAUCUAUUUAACAAUUUCAAAGGGCCACUUGUAUGGAAACACAUCUAUUGUUUUGAUCAUUUUGAUCUGUCGCCCCCCUGGUGGCUGAGCAGCACUCAGUUUGAUUGGCUCGGGCUGACCGUCACAUAUCUGUCCUAUAAAAAAACAAACAAAAAAAAAACAAAACUCCACUGUACAGACGACCUCUGUCAGACUACAUUCUGAAGCAUCAUCAGUGUUUGUUUUGACUUUAUUUUAAUAUUAAUCCAGAUUUCACUUUGACUGUAGAGAAUGUGGGUGAACAGAAGAGAGUGGUCGAUCUGAGGUUUACACACAACGUACAGGGUGUCGUCCAAAUAAGAGCAGCAUGACUAACAAUACAGUCACAUGUUAUUUAGUUUCACAUGUUCUUGAGAUUGAACAGGAAGAGCAUUUUAAUGACCAAGUAUUAAUCGUUUUUUACAGAUCUGUCGAGUAUUUACAGCAUGUUUAAAUGUGCCAAUGCAUUUUGUCAAAUCAAUGAAACAAUUAGAUAAAUAAUUGUUAUGUUAAAGAUCAUCUUAGUGUUAUCAGAAUGAAAACUGGUAUUACAAUAAUGUCAUUUGGUUUUAUUUUAAUAUGAGACUUGUUUUAUUGAACUCUAUAAUUUAUCUUAGAUGUUUAGGGCCUAAAAAUUUAAAUUGACCUAAAAGAGAAGCUGAUACCAGUUCUUGUUUUGUUGUUUUGACCAAAUCUUAUAUCCCUUUCUGAAGGAAAGUGUUAUAGAUAUGUUUUUUAAUUGUUAAAAAAAAUUGGUUUAUUGCUACGAAUAUAAAUAUAUAUAUAUACAGUAUAUUAAAAAAAAAAAAAAAAAAAGCAGCUGCUUUUGUUAUUUUGACCACACCUUGUAUCCAGUUGAUAUGAAAAUCCGAGACUCUUCAGUGAACAGUGUUAAAAGGCUGAUGGAUUUGUAAAAUGAGUUGUCGUCGUGGCCUUUGUUCAAAUAGCUCAAGUUUUACCUGUUUGCUGCUCUUUGGUUUCGGUCGCCACUCAUUUGGAAAAAGGUUCCAUUUCACUAUUAAAUAUCAGAUGUACUGUACAUACUACUACUGCUUAACUAUUCUGUUUCUACUUGUCAUUACUAAGUAAUUCUUGUGGAAUGACUUUGUUGCUUUUAGAGGUUUGUUUUUUAGAUUGUUGUGUAUGUGAAUCAUUAGCUGAGCCUGAAUUUCAGUUGUAGAUGUAAACAACCGGAUAUUUGGAAACAAUGUCUCAGCUGUUUUGGUUUUUUUUUUUUUAGGUUUUAUUUAAUUUAAUUUUUUUCUUUUUUUAAUUAAAUUUGUCUGUGGAUGAAGAAACGCACUUUGGUACGACUGUCGACAAAAACAAAAAAAUAUAUCAACUGACAAAAACCUGCAGGCAGUUUCUGAAAGCUCAGCACUGUACACUCUUCUACGGUUCUUUCUCUUGCUUUGUGUGUCCAGUCCGACCUGUACGUCAUUAUUGGUGCCAUUCUUGUACAUUGUGUCACUUAAAACUUGAGGGAUGAUCUGGACUCGGAUCAUUGUCACAGAGUUUAAAUGUGUGUGUGUGCGUGUUGAACAAAUAAAAUGUUGCAGUUA